GAUUUGUUUGGCUAUUUGAUGGUGUUUGUGGUGGUUUUGGUGUUUGUUGUGGUGUUUGUAGUGGUGUUUUGGUGUUUGUUGUGUUGUUGGUGUCUUCCAUGUGGUCUUCUCGGUUGUAUUCGAUCAUGUUUGUGUUGUUUUGUUAAAAUGGGCGUUUGGUGCGAAUUGUAUGUCGCAUUUAGUUCUUCAUCGUUCGUUCCGUUACAAGGUGAAUUUCUUUUUGCCACUAGCAGUACAUUAUAAAUAGAUUUAUUCAUGUACACAAAAACUGCUUUUUGAUUAAUUUGUUUUACGUUUCCCAUCAGUUUUAGAUAGCUGCAAAGACAUGUCAUGAAAUUUGCAGACGACAGAUAUUGGGUGCAGGCGAGAUCUGGGUUGAACGCGCGAAAGCUGCAAAGACAUGCCAUGAAAUAUGCAGACGACAGACAUGCGGUGCAGACGAGAUCUGGGUUGAACGCGCGAAAUUGUUUUGUUUUAUUUCUGCAUUUUACGCUUUUUGUUUUGUAUUUCUUUUUUUCUACUAGAAUGCUGGGGUAUGUGUACUUGAAGAAAAAAAGACGCAGACGGACAGGACAUGGAGAUGCAGACCAAGCAAAAUGUGCGUUUCUCUUUAUGAUGAACAGACAAUGCAAUGGUUUAGUGGAUGGUGCAGCUCUGGUACAUGAUAUUGACUACAAGCACGUGCGUGGAUGUCAUGUUGUAGAUUUCACAGUGGUUAAGUCAGUGCUGCAACUUGAUCCUUUUUCUAAGGUAUGUAAUUUUUCUGACAGGUACAAUUAGAUAAUUUCGUUUGAUAGCUUUUUUGCAGUUUAUAUUUUCUGGUUAUCGUAUGGUCGUACAUGGUUUUAAUUUUUUUUAUUUUUAACUCAUUACUGUUAAUUGUUAGAUAAUGACUACCAGUAUUCAGUUAAGCAGUGCAUAACUUUAAACCUUUAGAAAGCAAAGAACUAUUUUUCUCGUAAUUCUGGAGCGUAGGAAUGUGCAUUCAACUUAUGGCUAUGGUGAAAGAAAAGCUCGAAGUAUCGGACAAGAAACUCAAAACUAUUCGAUAAGAAACUCAGGCUAUCAGACGAGGAACCCGAACUGUCCGACAAGAAGCAGUUUCCUGUACCAUACACGAAGAAAAAUUUAGUUGAUGGAACUACGGUUGUCGUGGAAUUGCCUUGCUGGUACUAAAAAGAUGCCGAUAACCAGGGGGACACUGGUAACCAAUCGAUGUCGCUAAUCAGAGGUGUUCUGGGUCCCUUAUGUCAACAUAGUAAUCAUUUGUUCUCGACAAGGUGGGCUACUAAAUCACUUUAGAAUUGCUAUUUACGCGCUUGUAUUACAUCUAAGGUUUCUGACUUAUCUGAAACAAUGUUAAAUGUGACAGGCACAGCAAAAAGCUAUUGUUGACAUCUGGUUCUGUGACAUAACUUUCCUUUUUUCCUGAACAUAUUGAGAGAUUUGUCAAGUUAUAUAU